rnacentral:rRNA from 1 species
UACGGAGGGUGCAAGCGUUGUCCGGAAUCACUGGGCGUAAAGAGCCCGCAGGCGGCUUGGCAAGUUUGAGGUGAAAUCUCCCGGCUUAACUGGGAGGGGGCCUCGAAAACUGCCAGGCUUGAGGCAUGGAGAGGGAUGCGGAAUUCCCGGUGUAGUGGUGAAAUGCGUAGAUAUCGGGAGGAACACCAGUGGCGAAGGCGGCAUCCUGGCCAUGUCCUGACGCUCAGGGGCGAAAGCGUGGGGAGCAAACCGG